rfam:Brassica oleracea var. oleracea cultivar TO1000 chromosome C5, whole genome shotgun sequence
UCCGUUGUAGUCUAGCUGGUAAGGGUACUCGGCUUUCACCCGAGAGACCCGGAUUUGAUUACCGGCAACAGAG